GUGCCUAUACAUGCAGUCGAACGAACUCUGGUAUUGAUUGGUGCUUGCAUCAUGAUUUACAUUUGAGUGAGUGGCGAACUGGUGAGUAACACGUGGGAAACCUGCCCAGAAGCGGGGGAUAACACCUGGAAACAGAUGCUAAUACCGCAUAACAACUUGGACCGCAUGGUCCGAGUUUGAAAGAUGGCUUCGGCUAUCACUUUUGGAUGGUCCCGCGGCGUAUUAGCUAGAUGGUGGGGUAACGGCUCACCAUGGCAAUGAUACGUAGCCGACCUGAGAGGGUAAUCGGCCACAUUGGGACUGAGACACGGCCCAAACUCCUACGGGAGGCAGCAGUAGGGAAUCUUCCACAAUGGACGAAAGUCUGAUGGAGCAACGCCGCGUGAGUGAAGAAGGGUUUCGGCUCGUAAAACUCUGUUGUUAAAGAAGAACAUAUCUGAGAGUAACUGUUCAGGUAUUGACGGUAUUUAACCAGAAAGCCACGGCUAACUACGUGCCAGCAGCCGCGGUAAUACGUAGGUGGCAAGCGUUGUCCGGAUUUAUUGGGCGUAAAGCGAGCGCAGGCGGUUUUUUAAGUCUGAUGUGAAAGCCUUCGGCUCAACCGAAGAAGUGCAUCGGAAACUGGGAAACUUGAGUGCAGAAGAGGACAGUGGAACUCCAUGUGUAGCGGUGAAAUGCGUAGAUAUAUGGAAGAACACCAGUGGCGAAGGCGGCUGUCUGGUCUGUAACUGACGCUGAGGCUCGAAAGUAUGGGUAGCAAACAGGAUUAGAUACCCUGGUAGUCCAUACCGUAAACGAUGAAUGCUAAGUGUUGGAGGGUUUCCGCCCUUCAGUGCUGCAGCUAACGCAUUAAGCAUUCCGCCUGGGGAGUACGGCCGCAAGGCUGAAACUCAAAGGAAUUGACGGGGGCCCGCACAAGCGGUGGAGCAUGUGGUUUAAUUCGAAGCUACGCGAAGAACCUUACCAGGUCUUGACAUACUAUGCAAAUCUAAGAGAUUAGACGUUCCCUUCGGGGACAUGGAUACAGGUGGGUGCAUGGUUGUCGUCAGCUCCUGUCCUGAAAAUUUUGGGUUAAGUCCCGCAACGAGCGCAACCCUUAUUAUCAGUUGCCAGCAUUAAAUUGGGCACUCUGUGGAGACUGCCCGUGACAAACCCGAGGAGAGAGGGGGGGAGGAAGUCCAAAAUAUCAUGGC
rnacentral:rRNA from 2 species